rnacentral:rRNA from 1 species
GCGGUAAUUCCAGCUCCAAUAGCGUAUAUGUAAAUUGUUGCGGUUGAAAAGCUCGUAGUUGGACUUCUGAUGUCCGCUUUCUGUCCACCUUGAGUGAUGACGGUUCGCGGGCGUCGUUUUUGUCGACGGUGCGUGUCGGACUUCACUGGCCGGUGCGCUCUCUGUCGGCGAUGUUACUUUGAGGAAAUCAGAGUGCUUAAAGCAAGCGUUCGCUCGUGACUUCACUAGCAUGGAAUAACACAGAUGGGCUCUUUUUCGCAACGUUGGUCUGCGUCAACUGAGCAACGAUCGAUAGAGACGGUCGGGGGCAUUCGUAUUGCGCAGUUAGAGGUGAAAUUCUCCGAUCUGCGCAAGACGCACUAAUGCGAAAGCAGUUGCCAAGGACGUUCUCUUAUGAUCAAGAGCGAAAGUCGGGGGAUCAAAGAUGAUUAGAUACCGUCGUAGUCCCGACCAUAAAUGAUGCCAACUGAGCGUCGGCGACUCGGCUGUCAGCCGGACGUCGGCGCUCUUGAGAGAAAUUAAAGUCUUUGGGCUCCGGGGGUAGUAUGGUCGCAAGUCUGAAACUUGAAGGAAUUGACGGAAGGGCACCACAAGGCGUGGAUGUUGCGGCUUAAUUUGACUCAACACGGGAAAGCUUACUAGGUUUGGACACUUGAAUGAGGGACAUAUUGAAGCUCUUACCUUUUUUUGUGGAUGGUGGUGCAUGGUCGUUCUCAGCCCGUGGGUUGACCUGUCAGGUUUACUCCGGUAACGCGCGAGACCUCGGUUUGCUAAAUAGACACGGCUGUUUCUGCACCCGUGCUCUUCUUAGAGAGAGUCUUGACGAGAGUUGAGGGAAGUCGAGGCAAUAACAGAUCUGUGAUGCCCUUAGUUAUCCUAGGUCGCACGCGCCAUACAAUGUGGCGCACAACGAGUCUCCUAGGCCGACAGGACUGGGCAAUCUUGCAGAGCGCUACGUGACUGGGCUAGACUUUUGUAAUUGUUGGUCUUGAACGAGGAAUGCCUAGUAAUCGCAGGUCAUUAUCCUGAGAUGAUUCGGUCCCUGCCCUUUGUACACACCGCCCGUCGCUCCAUCCGUGGCAUGCGCCGGUGAAGAGGGGGAGGCAGCGUCGGUCGGGUAACACCGUCUCGUACGUGGAACCCCUCUGAACCUUCGCACGUAGAGGAAGGAGAAGUCGUAACAAGGUUUUCGUAGGUGAACCUGCGAAAGGAUCAUUA